rnacentral:misc_RNA from 1 species
GACGAACCGUCCAAACGUUAUUCGGAAUCAUUGGGCUUAAAGGGUGCGCAGGCGGCCGCAUAAGUCGGGUGUGAAAUCCCUCGGCUCAACCGAGGAAUUGCGCCCGAUACUGUGUGGCUUGAGGGAGACAGAGGCGAGCGGAACUGAUGGUGGAGCGGUGAAAUGCGUUGAUAUCAUCAGGAACACCGGUGGCGAAGGCGGCUCGCUGGGUCUCUUCUGACGCUCAUGCACGAAAGCUAGGGUAGCGAACAGG